rnacentral:tRNA from 1 species
GGGAUCAAGGUGUUAGCGGCAGCACAUUCGGUUCUUACCCGAUCGGUGACGGUUCAAGUCCGUCUGAUCCCA